rnacentral:tRNA from 1 species
UGGGGAGAUGGCAGAGCGGUCAAUUGCAACUGACUGUAAAUCAGUCGCCUCACGGCUACGUAGGUUCAAAUCCUACUCUCCCCAG